rnacentral:rRNA from 1 species
GAGUUUGAUCAUGGCUCAGGAUGAACGCUGGCGGCGUGCUUAACACAUGCAAGUCGAACGAACCUUCGGGUUAGUGGCGGACGGGUGAGUAACGCGUGAGAAUCUGCCCUCAGGAGGGGGAUAACAGCUGGAAACGGCUGCUAAUACCCCAUAUGCCGCGAGGUGAAAUGAAUUUCGCCUGAGGAUGAGCUCGCGUCUGAUUAGCUAGUUGGUGUAGGUAAUGGCUCACCAAGGCAUCGAUCAGUAGCUGGUCUGAGAGGAUGAUCAGCCACACUGGGACUGAGACGCGGCCCAGACUCCUACGGGAGGCAGCAGUGGGGAAUUUUCCGCAAUGGGCGAAAGCCUGACGGAGCAACGCCGCGUGAGGGAUGAAGGCCUCUGGGCUGUAAACCUCUUUUAUCAAGGAAGAAGAUCUGACGGUACUUGAUGAAUAAGCCACGGCUAAUUCCGUGCCAGCAGCCGCGGUAAUACGGGAGUGGCAAGCGUUAUCCGGAAUUAUUGGGCGUAAAGCGUCCGCAGGCGGCCCUUCAAGUCUGCUGUUAAAAAGUGGAGCUUAACUCCAUCAUGGCAGUGGAAACUGAGGGGCUUGAGUGUGGUAGGGGCAGAGGGAAUUCCCGGUGUAGCGGUGAAAUGCGUAGAUACCGGGAAGAACACCAGCGGCGAAGGCGCUCUGCUGGGCCAUCACUGACGCUCAUGGACGAAAGCCAGGGGAGCGAAAGGGAUUAGAUACCCCUGUAGUCCUGGCCGUAAACGAUGAACACUAGGUGUCGGGGGAAUCGACCCCCUCGGUGUCGUAGCCAACGCGUUAAGUGUUCCGCCUGGGGAGUACGCACGCAAGUGUGAAACUCAAAGGAAUUGACGGGGGCCCGCACAAGCGGUGGAGUAUGUGGUUUAAUUCGAUGCAACGCGAAGAACCUUACCAGGGUUUGACAUCCUGCGAAUCUCUUGGAAACGAGAGAGUGCCUUCGGGAGCGCAGUGACAGGUGGUGCAUGGCUGUCGUCAGCUCGUGUCGUGAGAUGUUGGGUUAAGUCCCGCAACGAGCGCAACCCACGUCUUUAGUUGCCAGCAUUUAGUUGGGCACUCUAGAGAGACCGCCGGUGAUAAACCGGAGGAAGGUGUGGAUGAUGUCAAGUCAUCAUGCCCCUUACAUCCUGGGCUACACACGUACUACAAUGCUACGGACAAAGGGCAGCAAGUUCGCGAGGACAAGCAAAUCCCAUAAACCGUGGCUCAGUUCAGAUCGUAGGCUGCAACUCGCCUACGUGAAGGAGGAAUCGCUAGUAAUCGCAGGUCAGCAUACUGCGGUGAAUACGUUCCCGGGCCUUGUACACACCGCCCGUCACACCAUGGAAGUUGGCCACGCCCGAAGCCGUUACUCCAACCCUUGUGGAGGAGGACGUCGAAGGUGGGGCUGAUGACUGGGGUGAAGUCGUAACAAGGUAACC